rnacentral:snRNA from 1 species
UUGCUGCAGUAGCAGAUACACUAAAAUUAGAACGAUACAGAGAUUAGCAUGGCCUUUGCACAAAGA